rnacentral:rRNA from 1 species
UUCCAGACUCCUACGGGAGGCAGCAGUGGGGAAUAUUGCACAAUGGGGGAAACCCUGAUGCAGCGACGCCGCGUGAGUGAAGAAGUAUUUCGGUAUGUAAAGCUCUAUCAGCAGGGAAGAAAAUGACGGUACCUGACUAAGAAGCCCCGGCUAACUACGUGCCAGCAGCCGCGGUAAUACGUAGGGGGCAAGCGUUAUCCGGAUUUACUGGGUGUAAAGGGAGCGUAGACGGCAGCACAAGUCUGGAGUGAAAUCCCGGGGCUUAACCCCGGAACUGCUUUGGAAACUGUGCGGCUGGAGUGCAGGAGGGGUAAGCGGAAUUCCUAGUGUAGCGGUGAAAUGCGUAGAUAUUAGGAGGAACACCGGUGGCGAAGGCAGCAUACCGGCGCUCAACUGACGCUCAUGCACGAAAGUGUGGGUAUCGAACAGGAUUAGAUACCCGUGUAU